GAACGAACGCUGGCGGCAUGCCUAACACAUGCAAGUCGAACGAAGGCUUCGGCCUUAGUGGCGCACGGGUGCGUAACGCGUGGGAAUCUGCCCUUUGGUUCGGAAUAACAGCUGGAAACGGCUGCUAAUACCGGAUGAUGACGAAAGUCCAAAGAUUUAUCGCCAGAGGAUGAGCCCGCGUUGGAUUAGGUAGUUGGUGGGGUAAAGGCCUACCAAGCCGACGAUCCAUAGCUGGUCUGAGAGGAUGAUCAGCCACACUGGGACUGAGACACGGCCCAGACUCCUACGGGAGGCAGCAGUGGGGAAUAUUGGACAAUGGGCGCAAGCCUGAUCCAGCAAUGCCGCGUGAGUGAUGAAGGCCCUAGGGUUGUAAAGCUCUUUUACCCGGGAAGAUAAUGACUGUACCGGGAGAAUAAGCCCCGGCUAACUCCGUG
rnacentral:rRNA from 1 species